rnacentral:ncRNA from 1 species
CGACCUUGCGUCGACGAGGGGUCCUUUAAAUGUCUGCCCUAUAAACUUUUGAUGGUAGGUAACCUGUCUUAUAUGGGGUAAACGGAUAACGGGGAAUCCGGGUUCGAUUCCGGAGAGGGAGCCUGAGAAACAGCUACAACUUCCAAGGAAGGCAGCAGGCGCACAAAUUACCCACUCACAGUAUGGGGAGAUGGUGACGAAAAAAUACCCAUGCACGACUCUUAUUGAGGCUCCUUAAUCGUAAUGAGUGAACUCUAAAUCAUUUCACGAGGAUCAAUUGGACGGCAAGUCUGGUGCCAGCAGCCGUGGUAUCUCCAGCUCCAAUAGCGUAUAUUAAAUUUGCUGCAGUUAAAAAGCUCGUAAUUGGAUCUCGGUAUCACUGUCGCCUGCCAGUUCUCGGCUGAUUGGUUCGGUGAAGGUGGGACCUUGCAUCGCUCGGUGCCCCUUACCCAGGGAUGGUUAUGAUCGAGUUGGCCUGGCGGUGGUUUCACAUUUCAGCCAUGUCUGUGGUAAAAUACCCGCAGGUGUAGGCGAGUGUAAGGCAGUGUUCUGUGACAGCUUGGUCUGUCGGCUCGUCUGCAUGCCCUAAGAAAGAUGUCUCUGGGCGGAUGGCAAGUUUACUUUGAACAAAUGUGAGUGCUCAAACCAGGCCGAUGUGGCCUGAAACGUUUUGAAUGGAAAAAUGGAAUAGAACUUCGGUUCUAUUUCGUUUGUUUUCGAAUCAGAAUUAGGGAUCAAAAUGGACAGGCCGGGACGUUUUUAUGGUUGCGCUAGAGGUGAAAUAAAUCGACCGUGACCAGACAGACUAAAGCGAAAGCAUUCGUCAGGCAUGUUUUUAUUGGCCAUGAGCGAAAGUCAGAGGCUCGAAGACGAUCAGAUACCGUCCUAGUUCU